rnacentral:lncRNA from 1 species
GCGACCUGGGGCCCCGCGCCCUUUACGCAGGUUUGUGCCGUGGGCACCAAGUUUCGGGUCAGCGGCUGUGGCGGGCCGGUGUGAGAGGCUAAGACGCGGCGCGGCGCGGCGCGAGUCACCGGCAAAGUUUGGUUGAGGUACGGAAGAAGGUUUCUAGACAAAGAGGCUCUUAAAGGUACAGAGUCUACUGUCUGGCCCUCCUCCUUAAAGGGCCAGGCACUUUUCCGAGCGCCCCACCCCCACCCCUACGAUCUGUAAAGGUAAAGGAAUUUUGCAUACCCUGCGGCUUACCUUCUGCACGUCUCGCUGCUCCAAAGAGGCCUUUCCCACUUCCGGGUAUUUUUUUUUUUUUUUUGCGUUUUCUUUACGGUGUAGCAGCAGCCAGAGAACACACACAUACACACAGUUACUCUUGGCGCCCUGACACACACACACACACACGUACGUGUGGACUUUUACCACGGAUGACUCAGGCGGCAUUCAGCUGUCUUAUGAAAUCCUCUUCGACGGGACGGAAAAAGGUUCAUCGCUCCCCAAAUGGGGACUGGGAAAUAAAUCAGACCUAGAUGGCAGUAGCCCCAGGGACUUCCGAGAGGGAUAAGGUCCAUUUUGAAACAGAAAGACUCCCUUUGCAAGGUAGGCAAGCUUCCUGGGUACACUGGCCUGCCAGACCUUGCGGGGAAGGGUCCCUCCAAAUAAGAUAUGUUACAACACCCAAGACAGCCUUAGGCGGCUGAAAACACUUUUGUUUUAAGAAAAACAAUAAGAAAUAAACGUGUAUUAUAUGUUACAGUGGUUCAAGGAUUUAUGUCUGUAAAUAUGAAGGAAGCAAAAAUUUGAUUGUGGCACAGGAGGAGAACUCAAGUCCUGGGAGAGGACUGAGGCCCUGGGUUUAGUUCCUAUGGUGGAGGGAACCCUGCAGUAUAAUUCAAGAAGUCUCCGGACUACAGAUCCCUAAUUAGAGCCACAACUUGGUGCCUCUCGUUGUUGUCCCAUUUAACAGUUUUCUUUGGGAAUUCUAAGUUGUGACUCCUUACAAAAGUGAAUAAAAACCUUAAAAGGUGCCUUUCUCCUCUUGCCCAGCUCCCAGCUGCUUUCUUGGAGCAGGCAGUAUCUUAGUGUUCUUUCCCUAACAAGGUGCUUUUCUGAGUGAGGAAGUUGUGCACUUCCAACAGCUAGAAGGAAAAUCAACCCACCACCACAUACUACAUACUACAUCUUUGGCUCUUGAAGUCUGUGCUGCCUGGAAAGUGCAAAGAAUCUCAAGAGCCUUCCAGAGGGUCUCUGAGACCCAAAGUAGUAUUAAAAUAAUAUGGAAAAUAAGCAGCCUUUGUUGUUUGACUGUCAUUUGCACUGACAAGAAAAAAGACACAUGGCUCAGUGGUUAAGAGCACUGACUGUUCUUCCAGAGGUCCUGAGUUCAAAUCCCAGCAACCACAUGGUGGCGCACAACCAUCUGUAAUGAGAUGCAAUGCCCUCUUCUGGUGUGUCUGAAGAGAAUGACAGCACACUCACAUAAAAUAAAUAAGUCUUAGAAAACAACACACAGGAGCAAUAAGGGCAAAGCAUGAUGGCACAGUGGGUAAAGGUGCUGCCAAUCAGUCUGCCUUCCACUUCCAUCUCCUGGAUACAUAUGCUUGCAAGAUAUCCUCCAUCCUCUGUGAAACAAACGUGUGUGUGUGUGUGUGUGUGUGUGUGUGUAUGUGUGUGUGUGUAUGUAUGUAGUUUAAGGGGGUGGGGGUGGGGGGCUAGAUGGUUCAGCCUAUGAAUCACUUACCACCAAGCCUGAAAGCCUGACCAUCUGGAUUCGAUUCUGGGACUACAUGGGAACAAGAAAUGAUGCCCAGACAUUGUCUUCUCACAGCAACAUGCAUGUGCCCAAUCACACAUGUACAAAUAGAACGCAAUUUAUAAAAAAGUUUUAG